rnacentral:rRNA from 1 species
UACGAAGGGGGCUAGCGUUGCUCGGAAUCACUGGGCGUAAAGCGCACGUAGGCGGCUUUCUAAGUCAGGGGUGAAAUCCUGGAGCUCAACUCCAGAACUGCCUUUGAUACUGGAGAGCUUUGAGUCCGGAAGAGGGUGAGUGGUAACUCCGAGUGUAGAGGUGAAAUUCGUAGAUAUUCGGAAAGAACACCAGUGGCGAAGGC